rnacentral:rRNA from 1 species
GACGAACGCUGGCGGCGUGCUUAACACAUGCAAGUCGAACGGUAAGGCCCUUCGGGGUACACGAGUGGCGAACGGGUGAGUGACACGUGGGUGAUCUGCCCUGCACUUCGGGAUAAGCCUGGGAAACUGGGUCUAAUACCGGAUAGGACCACUGCCUGCAUGGGUGGUGGUGGAAAGCUUUUGCGGUGUGGGAUGGGCCCGCGGCCUAUCAGCUUGUUGGUGGGGUGAUGGCCUACCAAGGCGACGACGGGUAGCCGGCCUGAGAGGGUGAUCGGCCACACUGGGACUGAGAUACGGCCCAGACUCCUACGGGAGGCAGCAGUGGGGAAUAUUGCACAAUGGGCGCAAGCCUGAUGCAGCGACGCCGCGUGAGGGAUGACGGCCUUCGGGUUGUAAACCUCUUUCAGCAUCGACGAAGCGAAAGUGACGGUAGGUGCAGAAGAAGGACCGGCCAACUACGUGCCAGCAGCCGCAGUAA